ensembl:snRNA U4 U4 spliceosomal RNA
AGCUUUGCGCAGUGGCAGUAUCUUAGCCAAUGAGGUUUAUCCGAGGCACAAUUAUUGCUAAUUGAAAUUAUGAUUUUCCUACUUUAUGAUUGUUUAGUACUGGUAGAUCCUUCAUUAUUGAA